UACGGCGGGGGCUAGCGUUGUUCGGAAUUACUGGGCGUAAAGCGCACGUAGGCGGGUCGCUAAGUCGGGGGUGAAAUCCUGGGGCUCAACCUCAGAACUGCCUUCGAUACUGGCGACCUUGCGUACGGGAGAGGUGAGUGGAAUUCCCAGUGUAUAGGUGAAAUUCGUAGAUAUUGGGAAGAACUCCAGUGGCGAAGGCGGCUCACUGGCCCGUAACUGACGCUGAGGUGCGAAAGCGUCGGGAGCAAACAGG
rnacentral:rRNA from 1 species